AGGGAUUUGGCUCAGUGGCAUAAGCACCUGCCUUGCAAGCAGGCAGUCAUGAGUUCGAUCCCCAUGGAUUCCCG
rfam:Cavia porcellus supercont2_240 genomic scaffold, whole genome shotgun sequence.